GAAUUUUGGACAAUGGGGGAAACCCUGAUCCAGCCAUCCCGCGUGUAUGAUGAAGGCCUUCGGGUUUUUAAGUACUUUUGGCAGAGAAGAAAAGGUAUCUCCUAAGACUAGAUACUGCUGACGGUAUCUGCAGAAUAAGCACCGGUUAACUUCUGGCCUGCUACCGCGGUCAUACGUAGGGUGCAAGCGUUAAUCGGAAUUACUGGGCGUAAAGCGUGUGUAGGCGGUUCGGAAAGAAAGACGUGAAAUCCCAGGGCUCAACCUUGGAACUGCAUUUUUAACUGCCGAGCUAGAGUAUGUCAGAGGGGGGUAGAAUUACACGUGUAGCAGUGAAAUGCGUAGAUAUGUGGAGGAAUACCGAUGGCGAAGGCAGCCCCCUGGGAUAAUACUGACGCUCAGACACGAAAGCGUGGGGAGCAAACA
rnacentral:rRNA from 1 species